rnacentral:rRNA from 1 species
CAAUAGCGUAUAUUAAAGUUGUUGCAGUUAAAAAGCUCGUAGUUGGAUUUCUGGUGGGAGCGAUCGGUCUGGCGCUUAGCGCGAGUACUUGCAUCGUCUCCGGCCAUCCUUGGGGAGAGUCUGUCUGGCAUUAGGUUGUCGGGCAGAGGAUCCUCAUCGUUUACUGUGAAAAAAUUAGAGUGUUCAAAGCAGGCUUAUGCCGUUGAAUAUAUUAGCAUGGAAUAAUAAGAUAGGACUUUGGUACUAUUUUGUUGGUUUGCGCACCAAAGUAAUGAUUAAUAGGGACAGUUGGGGGUAUUCGUAUUCCGUUGUCAGAGGUGAAAUUCUUGGAUUUACGGAAGACGAACUACUGCGAAAGCAUUUACCAAGGAUGUUUUCAUUA